rnacentral:rRNA from 1 species
AACCUCCGCAAUGUGAGAAAUCGCGACGGGGGGAUCCCAAGUGCCAUUCUUAACGGGAUGGCUUUUCUUAAGUGUAAAAAGCUUUUGGAAUAAGAGCUGGGCAAGACCGGUGCCAGCCGCCGCGGUAACACCGGCAGCUCUAGUGGUAGCUGUUUUUAUUGGGCCUAAAGCGUUCGUAGCCGGUUUGAUAAGUCACUGGUGAAAUCCUGUAGCUUAACUGUGGGAAUUGCUGGUGAUACUGUUGAACUUGAGGUCGGGAGAGGUUAGCGGUACUCCCAGGGUAGAGGUGAAAUUCUGUAAUCCUGGGAGGACCACCUGUGGCGAAGGCGGCUAACUGGAACGAACCUGACGGUGAGGGACGAAAGCUAGGGGCGCGAACCGGAUUAGAUACCCGGGUAGUCCUAGCCGUAAACGAUGCGGACUUGGUGUUGGGAUGGCUUUGAGCCGCUCCGGUGCCGAAGGGAGCUGUUAAGUCCGCCGCCUGGGGAGUACGGUCGCAAGACUGAAACUUAAAGGAAGU